CUCUGAAAAUUCAAAGAUGGCUCAUCUUUGUUUAGGUUUCCCACCUGCUACCCGAGUUUUUCUUCUCCUCUCUCGCUCUUUGUCUCUUCGAAACUCAGACCACCACCUCUGUAACACAUAUGUUUCCGUAUUAAACCUUUCAUUCAAUCUCAGUUAAGUCGACCUCCACUACGUCUCUUUACUUCACCGAAUUCGCCCUCUUCAUCUUCUUCGCGAUUUUGAACCUAUAUAUAGGCAUCUUCGGCUUGAUGGUUUCCACAGAUUCAUAGCUUCUCUCUACUCAAAAAUCAGAAACACUCAUGCACGAACGAUGGCCACUUCCCAGAUCUCUCUUUCCAAGUUGAAGGCAGUAUCGGAGGAGGAUCUUUACUUGAGAUCAGAGAGAAGGAAGAAUCUUCAUCAAUGGCGUCAAAAGUCUAUGAUCCUAGAGGAGUUGUAGGCGAAGUCAAACCGAAGAAUGUUGUAAUACAAAACCAAAAGGCUCUUGGAGACAUUGGUAAUCUCGUCAACAUUCCAACCGGAAAGGAUAUUGCGAGGAAGGCAGAGGUUGUUGUUAUCACCAUCCUUGAAGAAGAUGAGAAAUCUUGCAGACCACAUGUUACCAAAAGGUGAGGUUUCACAUCUACCUUAAGAGCUCGAAGCAAGGCUGCAAGUGGUGGACUCAAAGAUGCUGUGAUUGACGAUUCCCUUCACUUCAGCCUCAGUCCGUUCCUCCGUCCUAGCAAUUUGGAGUAGUUAUAGCAAGACUUCAGCUUUUAUCAGUUCAACGGUUACAUCCAAAAAAAUAUGGUUACAUCCAAAUAGAUCUUCCUCUUGGUAUCGUUUCAUACACAAGCUGGAAGCCUGGAACCCUUACCAGGUGAUGCUGUGUGUUGUUUUUGUUUUUCAUUUUUUAUUUAUCUUUUAUAUUAUCAAGUCAUAUUUUUUCAAUCUAUUUAAGGUGCAAACCCUUUGCAUCGAACUGAACCGUCUACGGGAUCAAGCUCGGCUUAUGGAACUAGACCGUUAUCUCCUUCAGUGGUGCUUAUCAGAUCGGUCCAUGUUCAAAUAAGGAACAAUGUAUGUCUCCACAGUUACCUUGACAAGCUGAGUGUUCACUGAAAGCAGCAUCGCCAAAGGGAAUUACUUUCAGCCAUAUUAGACUUACACUCCAUCAUGGCACUGCGCAAGCCGCAAUGCAGCCACUAUGCUCAACACGAGAGAUUGACAACGAUUUUUUUUCAUUCUUUUUACAUGUAAAGAAAAGAAAAACUAAAAAGUUUGUAUAUUUAUUCUUCCUACAGCUAGAUCAUCUUAUUUUCUAAAUCAAAUAAAUGAUUAGUAGUCUUACUCAUAAUAAA